rnacentral:rRNA from 1 species
GCAAAGGUAGCAUAGUCAUUAGUUCUUUAAUUGUGAUCUGGUAUGAAUGGCUUGACGAGGCAUGGGCUGUCUUAAUUUUGAAUUGUUUAUUGAAUUUGGUCUUUGAGUUAAAAUUCUUAGAUGUUUUUAUGGGACGAGAAGACCCUAUAGAGUUUAACAUUUGCUAUGGUCCUCUUUCUGUUUGUGAGGGUUCACUGGGCCAUUUAAUAUGUUUUGUUGGGGUGAUGGGAGGGAUUUAUUUAACCCCUCCUUUUUAUUAUUAUAUUUAUUUAUAUUUACUUGAUCCAUUUAUUUUGAUUGUAAGAUUAAAUUACCUUAGGGAUAACAGCGUUAUCUUCCUUGAGAGUUCUUAUCGGCAGGGGGGUUUGCG